CACGGGGGCAACCCUGGUGGCGAGUGGCGAACGGGUGAGUAAUACAUCGGAACGUGUCCUGAGGUGGGGGAUAACCUGGCGAAAGCCAGGCUAAUACCGCAUACGCUCGGAAGAGGAAAGCAGGGGACCGGUAACGGCCUUGCGCUGCAGGAGCGGCCGAUGUCCGAUUAGCUAGUUGGUGGGGUAAAGGCCCACCAAGGCGACGAUCGGUAGCUGGUCUGAGAGGAUGAUCAGCCACACUGGGACUGAGACACGGCCCAGACUCCUACGGGAGGCAGCAGUGGGGAAUUUUGGACAAUGGGGGCAACCCUGAUCCAGCCAUGCCGCGUGAGUGAAGAAGGCCUUCGGG
rnacentral:rRNA from 1 species